rnacentral:rRNA from 1 species
AUUGAACGCUGGCGGCAGGCCUAACACAUGCAAGUCGAGCGGAGCGGCAGACGGGUGAGUAAUGCCUAGGAAUCUGCCUGGUAGUGGGGGAUAACGUCCGGAACCGGGCGCUAAUACCGCAUACUCUCAGCUGAGCCUAGGUCGGAUUAGCUAGGGGGUGGGGUAAAGGCCUACCAAGGCGACGAUCCGUAACUGGUCUGAGAGGAUGAGCAGUCAAACUGGAACGGAGACACGGUCCAGACUCCUACGGGAGGCAGCAGUGGGGAAUAUUGGACAAUGGGCGAAAGCCUGAUCGAACCAUGCCGGGGGUGUGAAGAAGGGCUUCGGAUUGGAAAGCACUUUAAGUUGGGAGGCGUUACCAACAGAAUAAGCACCGGCUAACUCCGUGCCAGCAGCCGCGGUAAUUC